GACGAACGCUGGCGGCGUGCCUAAUACAUGCAAGUUGAGCGCUGAAGGUUGGUACUUGUACCAACUGGAUGAGCAGCGAACGGGUGAGUAACGCGUGGGGAAUCUGCCUUUGAGCGGGGGACAACAUUUGGAAACGAAUGCUAAUACCGCAUAAAAACUUUAAACACAAGUUUUAAGUUUGAAAGAUGCAAUUGCAUCACUCAAAGAUGAUCCCGCGUUGUAUUAGCUAGUUGGUGAGGUAAAGGCUCACCAAGGCGAUGAUACAUAGCCGACCUGAGAGGGUGAUCGGCCACAUUGGGACUGAGACACGGCCCAAACUCCUACGGGAGGCAGCAGUAGGGAAUCUUCGGCAAUGGACGAAAGUCUGACCGAGCAACGCCGCGUGAGUGAAGAAGGUUUUCGUAUCGUAAAACUCUGUUGGUAGAGAAGAACGUUGGUGAGAGUGGAAAGCUCAUCAAGUGACGGUAACUACCCAGAAAGGGACGGCUAACUACGUG
rnacentral:rRNA from 1 species